GUCAAUCUCCAUUUUUAAAGUAAUGUACAGAACAGAGAACAAGAAACUCAGAACACUAUGCAUAUUCAAAAUGACUGAUUUGGUGAAAGUUUAUACCAUCACUCAUAUAUGCCAACUAGUUUCCAUGAGUUAGGCACACCUGUGAGCCCAAAAACAACAGGCGGAGAGAUAAGGUCCUCUGGUUGGUAUACCAAGACUAUUUUCCUACUAGUUAUAGCUUAGGCUUCAUCAUUUUAGUUCAUAUGAUUUGGUCGAUUCCUUUCACUGCUUCCCUCUUUUUUUUUGUAUUUAAUACAUGACUUUUCACUAGCUUUGUCAUCUUUUCUAUGCUAUUGUAAUUGAAUGCUUAUUAUCUGUUACGAAGUCCUUUGUAUUGUCUUGGAGUAUGCAAUGAAUGAAUCCUUGGCCUUCUAUGCUUUGAAAUGCAUUAGUUUAAUUAUGACAUCAGGAUUUAUGUACGUUACUUUGAAUAUUAAAAAAAAUUCAAAAUUGAUUUCCCUAACACAUGCUGGGUGACCAUUUCCAGGAAGUCAUUACAGUUGACGCAUCCAUACUAAGGCAGGGGAGAAGCGUGGUUGUAACAUCAGUAAAUUUCAGUGCAAAGAAAACCGGGAAACUUCUAUAUACAUCUCGUUCUACCUUUUACAUUAUGCCAGUGGCCAGUCUGUAAACCCCUAUUUUACAAACCAACAUUCUAAGAAACAUGGUAUAUACAUUAAGUACAUUGUUCGUGAUUACAGCUUGUUAAAAUCGACUUUGCCUCCACCGGAGUGGCAUGCUGUGAAGAAUUGUCUCUGAAUGGUGGAGUCAAACAUUUGAAGAUAUACUUGAUUCAGUGCGGAGUGCCAUGGAAGUUUCAGCAGCACCUCAUAUGAAACCAGAACUCAUGUCCUUAUCAUCCAGCAAGGCAGCGGAUCUGACGUCUGGACAGAAAAUUCCAAUGGUAAUUUACCAAAACUCAUUCUUGAUUUUGUAGUUUAACGAUCCUUUUUAAUUCGCUUUACUCGAGAAUAUUUCCAUCUUAUAAAAGUUUAAGCAAAAAAACAGAUUGAAUUUCAUAUAGAAAUGUGUAUUUGGAUUGGCAUUAAAAAAGGGAAGUGUUUAUUUCUUAA